rnacentral:rRNA from 1 species
AUAAAUUAGCCAUGCAUGUGUAAGUAUAAAUAUUCUACUUUGAAACUGCGAAUGGCUCAUUAUAUCAGUUAUAGUUUAUUUGAUGAAAAGUACUACUUGGAUAACCGUAGUAAUUCUAGAGCUAAUACAUGAUCAAUUCCUCGACUUUGAAGAGGUGUAUUUAUUAGAAUGAAAACCAAUAGACUUUGUCUGUUUGUGAGUAAUAAUAACUUGUCAUAUCGCAUGCUUAGGUAGCGAUGUUUCUUUUAAGUUUCUGCCCUAUCAGCUUUCGAUGGUAGUGUAUUGGACUACCAUGGCAGUAACGGGUAACGAAGAAUUUGGGUUCGAUUUCGGAGAGGGAGCCUGAGAGAUGGCUACCACAUCCGAGGAAGGCAGCAGGCGCGUAAAUUACCCAAUCCUGACACAGGGAGGUAGUGACAAUAAAUCACAAUGCGGAACUUCUGUUUUGCAAUUGGAUUGAGAACAACGCACAACACUUAUCGAUAAACAAUUGGAGGGCAAGUCUGGUGCCAGCAGCCGCGGUAAUUCCAGCUCCAAUAGCGUAUAUUAACGUUGUUGACAGUCAAAAAAAGCUCAA